AGAGAGAGAGAGAGAGGAACGAAAGAAUGAAUAUGAGGCCGUGAAGAAAGCCUCUGCUCUUUGCAAAAGGCUCUCCACACGCCACAGGGAAGAAAAGGAGAAGACCUCUCUCUCUCUAAUAAAGAAAAAAAGGCCUCCUAGGGUUUCUUUAAUUUCUUAUUAGAAAGGAACAGAGGAAGAGAGAGAGAGUUCUGAAAACAAAAGCCUGUUUCAAUGAAAACAACUUCAUUAUACUGGUAUAUAUAUGAUGAGCGAAAC
rnacentral:lncRNA from 1 species